AUCAGUGGCGAACGGGUGAGUAACACGUGAGUAACCUGCCCUUGACUCUGGGAUAACUGCUAGAAAUGGUAGCUAAUACCGGAUACGACCCUCGGCCGCAUGGUCAGGGGGUGGAAAGAAUUUUGGUCAAGGAUGGACUCGCGGCCUAUCAGGUAGUUGGUGAGGUAAUGGCUCACCAAGCCUACGACGGGUAGCCGGCCUGAGAGGGUGAACGGCCACACUGGGACUGAGACACGGCCCAGACUCCUACGGGAGGCAGCAGUGGGGAAUCUUCCGCAAUGGACGAAAGUAUGACGGAGCAACGCCGCGUGUAUGAUGAAGGUCUUCGGAUUGUAAAGUACUGUCUUUGGGGAAGAACAAUAGGUUUGAAAAUAUUGAAUCUAUAUGACGGUACCCAAGGAGGAAGCCCCGGCUAACUACGUGCCAGCAGCCGCGGUAAUACGUAGGGGGCAAGCGUUGUCCGGAAUUAUUGGGCGUAAAGGGCGCGUAG
rnacentral:rRNA from 1 species